rnacentral:rRNA from 1 species
GGCUUAGAGUUUGAUCCUGGCUCAGAUUGAACGCUGGCGGCAUGCCUUACACAUGCAAGUCGAACGGCAGCGCGGACUUCGGUCUGGCGGCGAGUGGCGAACGGGUGAGUAAUACAUCGGAACGUACCCUGUUGUGGGGGAUAACUAGUCGAAAGAUUAGCUAAUACCGCAUACGACCUGAGGGUGAAAGCGGGGGACCGAAAGGCCUCGCGCAGCAGGAGCGGCCGAUGUCUGAUUAGCUAGUUGGUGGGGUAAAGGCCCACCAAGACGACGAUCAGUAGCUGGUCUGAGAGGACGAUCAGCCACACUGGGACUGAGACACGGCCCAGACUCCUACGGGAGGCAGCAGUGAGGAAUUUUGGACAAUGGGGGCAACCCUGAUCCAGCAAUGCCGCGUGUGUGAAGAAGGCCUUCGGGUUGUAAAGCAACUUUUGUCCGGAAAGAAAUUGCUCUGGCUAAU